rnacentral:rRNA from 1 species
ACGGGAGGCAGCAGUGGGGGAUAUUGGACAAUGGGGGAAACCCUGAUCCAGCGACGCCGCGUGAGUGAAGAAGUAUUUCGGUAUGUAAAGCUCUAUCAGCAAGGAAGAAAAUGACGGUACUUGACUAAGAAGCUCCGGCUAAAUACGUGCCAGCAGCCGCGGUAAUACGUAUGGAGCAAGCGUUAUCCGGAUUUACUGGGUGUAAAGGGAGCGUAGACGGCAAAGCAAGUCUGAAGUGAAAUCCCGGGGCUCAACCCCGGAACUGCUUUGGAAACUGUUUAGCUAGAGUGCAGGAGAGGUAAGCGGAAUUCCUAGUGUAGCGGUGAAAUGCGUAGAUAUUAGGAGGAACACCAGUGGCGAAGGCGGCUUUCUGGACUGUGACUGACACUGAGGCUCGAAAGCGUGGGGAGCGAACAGGAUUAGAUACCCUGGUA